GGGGUGGUGGCGCAGUUGGCUAGCGCGUAGGUCUCAUAAUCCUGAGGUCGAGAGUUCGACCCUCUCUCACCCCA
rnacentral:tRNA from 2 species